rnacentral:rRNA from 1 species
GAUAAACGCUGGCGGCGUGCAUGAGACAUGCAAGUCAUACGGGCGAGCUUGCUCGCUAGUGGCGGACGGCUGAGUAACGCGUAGGUGACCUGCCCCGAAGUGGGAAUAACUGCCCGAAAGGGUGGCUAAUACCGCAUGUGGUGGUUCGUUCGAUCGUUCCACCAAAGCAGCAAUGCGCUUCGGGAGGGGCCUGCGUCCGAUUAGCUCGUUGGUGGGGAACGGCUCACCAAGGCGACGAUCGGUAGGUGGUCUGAGAGGACGAUCACCCAGACUGGGACUGAGACACGGCCCAGACUCCUACGGGAGGCAGCAGUCGGAAUUUUGCGCAAUGGACGAAAGUCUGACGCAGCAACGCCGCGUGAGGGAUGAAGGCC